UGCUGUUUGAUUCUGGAUGGAGUUACGUUUAGGAGCCUGGCAGCAAACUGGGGCACCUGUUCAAUUAGUGAUGAUGCCAUACUCUGGUUGAUUUCUGUGGGGCACAUCUGUCCCUUACCAAGAAGAUCAGGCCAAGGAACACCAGGAGGAGAAUCACAGCCACCAGGACCACAAUAACUAUGGCCCAUGCAGGGAAUGAAUCAUUCUCUCCCAUCUGUCCAGCGUGGAUACCUUUCUGUGAGCCAUCUUUAUUGAGGUGGGGAAAGGAGACGCAAAGAGGUUAAGUAAUUGGCAAAAUUAGACUUUUCACUGUGCCCCAGAUGUUUUUAAACAUGAUAAGGGAUGAAUGACUAUCUAUUGAGUGAAUAAAGGAGCUGGCAGCAAUGCAAAGGGCAUUUUCCACUGGCCUUAAAGAAUCAGAGGACAGGUUUGACAUCCAGGCUCGGUCCCUCAGCGGUUUUGCAUUCUUGCUCAGGUCUCUUAAGUGCUCUGAAGCUCCAUGUUCUCGACUGUAAAUAACCAUGAUGCUGACUGCACCAGCUUAAUGUGAGGAUUAAAGGAAGUAUGGACCAUGGAAGACUCUGGAGCACAGAAGCUAUUUAAAUGUUUGUUGAAUCCACAUUGUAGUCUCUGAAAUAAUCUCGUGCUUUGCCCUGUCCUUCUCCUGGUAGUAAGGGGAGCCUGAGCAGUAGCCCUACCCCCCUGCCUGCUCCAUCCACCUCUCACCUGCUGUGGCCACCUUCUUGAAAACAGCAGCCUCUGCAUUCCUGGGCCACUUUCUCUGCUGUGUUUUAAUAACACAGCACUCAUCACUUUCUGAUAUGUGAUAAAUACAAUUAAAUUUCCACAAUGGCAA